UGCAUGUUCAAUGUUUGUAAGCAUGUUCAGCCAUGCAUGAGUCACCACAUGUAAAUUAUACUGCAUUUUUAUAUUUUAAAAUGUGUAUUUACAAAAGAUAAAAAGAAUUGUUACGGUAUAAAUGUAUCCGUACGUUUAUUGAUUAAUGUGGAAAAAUAAUGUAUCAUUUCGGAUGAGUGUUCCAACUUUAACUAGUCAAACUUUAAUUACUUGUGCAUUUCAUAUAUAUACAUUUCGACAAAAAAAUGAUCAGUAUAUAUCUGAAGAAAACUUGAAUAGUAAACUCACCAUAUAUAAUCGUUAAAUCCAAUGGAUAAUAAUUAUAUUUAGACAACACACAUCAAAACUAUACCCGAUAACGCACAUGUGAAAAACAACACAUAUUUUGCCAAAUAUUAAUAGAAACACGGAUCAUACCGAUAACGGAGUUGAUUCCGGAAUAAUAUAGUACUAUGAAAA
rnacentral:lncRNA from 1 species